AGCCGAGACUAGAGGGAUUAGGGGUGUAAAUACCCGUAUGUUUGUGAGAUAAAUAUAAGUUAAGCUGAUUUAUGUAUGUUUAACACUAAUCAAACACACAUACACGUCAAAAGCUCUAUUCUAGUUUCCCUCCAAUGAAGGAAAGCUCACAUAGGAGCACUUGAAGCUAGAAUCUAGUUGAUUUCAACCUCUUUUCAUCAGUUUCAAGUAAUUUCCAUAUAGUUAUAUCAUCAAUAAUCCAAAGGUGCUAGGAGUUUGGAGGUGCUCGUCUAUAUAUAUAUUCGAUCCUAAAACGGACAGGUGCCGGGAGCUCAGGUGGAAGUGGGUCGGGGAAAGAAUUUAAGGAGCGUGGAUAAGUACUACUGUAGGCUGCACUUCUUUCCCUAAAUCACAGCUGUGUGUAUGAUACUUAUGUGUAGUUACGCCCUGUUUCAACUUUAAAGCAUAAUAUGACGUUUGGACUCCUUUUGGUAAACUAGUCAUGUUGUCGUCUUUGGGUCAAAAUAGGUGGUGUGUAGGAGAGCAGGAAUAACUUUGUAAUUUCUGCAAAUUUUGGUGUAAAUACUAAGCUAAUCGGUUAUAUAAAAUUAAAGUCCUUUAUCUAUUUUGGUUAA